rnacentral:misc_RNA from 1 species
GCAAAAGGAGUGAAUUGAAGCCCAACAUUCAUAAGGAAUCCUUGAGGCAUAAAAGGAAGGUUCCAAAAGUCCAGCUACUUAAUUAUCUGGUCCACCUGCUUCUACCGGUACUGGAAAAAAUAAAUGAAGAGCAGAGAAUUGAAGUAGAGAUAGAAGCUAAUAUAUCAGGAAAGGGGGAAUCUGACAUUCAGAUUCAGCAGGCUUCAGCAGGAGACGGAA